rnacentral:rRNA from 1 species
UACGUAGGGUGCGAGCGUUAAUCGGAAUACUGGGCGUAAAGCGUGCGCAGGCGGUUUUGUAAGACAGGCGUGAAAUCCCCGAGCUCAACUUGGGAAUUGCGCUUGUGACUGCAAGGCUAGAGUGUGUCAGAGGGGGGUAGAAUUCCACGUGUAGCAGUGAAAUGCGUAGAGAUGUGGAGGAAUACCGAUGGCGAAGGCAGCCCCCUGGGACAUGACUGACGCUCAUGGCACGAAAGCGUGGGGAGCAAACAGG